CCUACGGGCGGCUGCAGUGGGGAAUAUUGCACAAUGGGCGGAAGCCUGAUGCAGCGACGCCGCGUGGGGGAUGACGGCCUUCGGGUUGUAAACUCCUUUCGACAGGGACGAAGCUUUUUGUGACGGUACCUGUAUAAGAAGCACCGGCUAACUACGUGCCAGCAGCCGCGGUAAUACGUAGGGUGCGAGCGUUGUCCGGAAUUACUGGGCGUAAAGAGCUCGUAGGUGGUUUGUCGCGUCGUCUGUGAAAUUCCGGGGCUUAACUCCGGGCGUGCAGGCGAUACGGGCAUAACUUGAGUGCUGUAGGGGAGACUGGAAUUCCUGGUGUAGCGGUGAAAUGCGCAGAUAUCAGGAGGAACACCGAUGGCGAAGGCAGGUCUCUGGGCAGUAACUGACGCUGAGGAGCGAAAGCAUGGGUAGCGAACAGGAUUAGAUACCCGGGUAGU
rnacentral:rRNA from 1 species